rnacentral:rRNA from 1 species
GACGAACGCUGGCGGCGUGCUUAACACAUGCAAGUCGCACGAAGUGGCGCACGGGUGAGUAACGCGUAAUCAACCUGCCCUUCAGAGGGGGACAACAGUUAGAAACGACUGCUAAUACCGCAUACUGAAGGAGGGGAUUGCGUCUGAUUAGCGAGUUGGAGGGGUCACGGCCCAACAAGGAGAUACUCAGUAGCCUGUUCGAGAGGUAGAACGGGCACAUUGGGAGUGGUAAACGUCCCAGACUCCUACGGGAGGCAGCAGUGGGGAAUCUUCCGCAAUGGACGAAAUGCUGACGGAGCAACGCCGCGGGAGUGCUGACGGCCCUCGGGUUGUAAAGCUCUGUUAAUCGGGACGCGGUACCGGAAUAGAAAGCAACGGCUAACUACGUGCCAGCAGCCGCGGUAAUUC